UACGAAGGGGGCUAGCGUUGCUCGGAAUCACUGGGCGUAAAGCGCACGUAGGCGGCUUUCUAAGUCAGGGGUGAAAUCCUGGAGCUCAACUUCAGAACUGCCUUUGAUACUGGAGAGCUUGAGUCCGGAAGAGGUGAGUGGAACUCCGAGUGUAGAGGUGAAAUUCGUAGAUAUUCGGAAGAACACCAGUGGCGAAGGCGGCUCACUGGUCCGGUACUGACGCUGAUGUGCGAAAGCGUGGGGAGCAAACAGGG
rnacentral:rRNA from 1 species